rnacentral:rRNA from 1 species
CCUACGUGCGGCAGCAGUGAGGAAUAUUGGUCAAUGGACGAGAGUCUGAACCAGCCAAGUAGCGUGAAGGAUGACUGCCCUAUGGGUUGUAAACUUCUUUUAUAAAGGAAUAAAACGAGGCACGUGUGCCUUUUUGCAUGUACUUUAUGAAUAAGGAUCGGCUAACUCCGUGCCAGCAGCCGCGGUAAUACGGAGGAUCCGAGCGUUAUCCGGAUUUAUUGGGUGUAAAGGGUGCGCAGGCGGAGGUGAAAGUCAGCGGUCAACUUGCGGGGCUCAACCCCGUACUGCCGUUGAAACUGCAUCCAUUGAGUGCGCGAGAAGUAUGCGGAAUGCGUGGUGUAGCGGUGAAAUGCAUAGAGAUCACGCAGAACUCCGAUUGCGAAGGCAGAAUACCGGCGCGCAACUGACGCUCAUGCACGAAAGCGUGGGUAUCGAACAGGAUUAGAUACCCGAGUAGUC